GCCCCACCCAGUGCCGCCGCCUGACCUCCUCUCGCACGCAGCCAAUAGGAGAGCUACCGCCCCAUCCGUCUCGCCGCACCACUAGGUCGAGUCACAGGCCAUGCAGCGUGGCACCCUGCGUGGCGCAUGAGCGAUGGCCGGCGGCGCCCCCCUCCCCUCCCCUGCAUGAUGGGCGGCAGCGCAGGCGGGGCAGGUAUGAUGCUGCCGAAGCUCUUCCAAGCUCUGUGUGCUAGUUCGGUUGAAGAUCUGCUUCUUUCCUCACUUGUUGAACUCCCUCAGUUCUUGUUUCUCCAGAACUCGUGGGUUCUCAGCCUUGUACUUACUAUGCACAGCAUGGCUUUUGCAAGUUUGGGCCGACAUGCAAGUUUGAUCACCCGAUGGGCACUCUAAACUUUAGUCCUUCAGUGUCAUCACUUACUGAUGUGCCAGUCACUCCAUAUCCUCUCAGUUUCCCUGUUACUCCUAUGGCACCAUAUCCAUCAUCUUCUGAUCUGCGGCCACAGUACACUCUAACCAAGGAGCACUCUGCUAAUCCACAUGCAGUCUCGGAUUCUUUUUGCUCCGAUUUGACUGCCCAUCUAUUGUGAAUAAAGGCUGCAGCUGACAUAGGAAUAAAUGCAAAGAUAGGAAUUGGCAAGCUCAUUCACUUGCCAUUUUCUCAUCUCAUUGGUGUUUGCUUUUAAUCUGAUUAUAGUGUUGAGCACAUGUUCAUGCCUAUUAUGUUUGUCUUUAAUCUGAUUUCCAUGUUUGAAUCUGACCAGACCACAUGUCCAAGCUGAUGGUGAUUCAUUUGUAACUUAGUAUAAGCAUCAGGUGGCUGCCGGCCACUAGCUAGCAUCAUUCCCAUCUCCAUGGCUCGCUCUCCAAGCACCAGGUCAAGCUCAAGCCUCCAGCAAAGCUGCAAGCAACAGGACAGUAACGAGGCAACAAGUUAACUUGGUGAAAAGUAGCAAAUUUGCUAGUUCCCUCUAUCCCUCUAGAAAAUGGCUGACGGUGAGGAUAUAUCCAGCCUCUUGUCUGUGACAAUGGAAUUGGAAUGGUCAUGGAUGGGUUUGCCAGUGAUGAUGCACCAAAGGCUGUUUUCCCUUAGGCAUGUUGAAUUGUAGUAAAAAAACAAAAGUAUGUAUUAUUUUACAACAUUUUGAGCUAAUGGGAACCAGACUAUAGAUAUAUUAUCUUGGCUCUUGGCUUGUAUGGAUGAUGUGCUAUAUAUGUUCAGUUAUUAAGAAUAUGUUAGUCUGAUUAUGUUGAGUAAUAUAUGACUAUAUGAUGUAUGAAUCACUCAUUGAAUCGAAUGUUUGUCUGGAAUUA